CCCAAACACCCUCUAAGCAGUAAAGAGGUAGGUGAAAUCCUGCGGAAUUUUCUUUGUCGUCCUGCUGAUAAUGGAGCUCCGGUUUCAGAAAUGCGUAGCGCGAGAGGGAGAAGACGGGCCAUCGGUUUUGUUUUUGGCUGAAGCGUCAUUUGGGUUGUUGCCUUGUUGGGGAAGACCCAGACGAGGGUUACAUCGGAACACCGAGGAGAAAUUUAGUUUCAACAAGAACGGUGAUGUUGAAAGCUUCCGCUCGUUCACUAUAGGCACGAACUGAGGUUUUAUUCUCCGAGUGCUGCUAUGAGUUUGCUGUACUAAGAUGUUAAUUGAUUCUUGGGAUGUUAAAGGUUUAACUCAGACGGAGAAGUUUCAAUGCUAAUGAUGAUUCCAGCAAGCUAAGAUCAACCAGGGGAAAACAGGGGCGCUGGUUAACAGGUUAAGGUGACUUUGGCAAGUCCCAAGGUGGAGGCAAUUCAGCGGACUAUUCUACACUGUAUCACUAUUCAUCGCUUGGAUGCAAUAGUUGUGGUAUGAUUCUUUGUGAUAUUUUUAAUACUUAGACAUGCUUAUGGAUAUAACACUGACUAUACUAACUUAUGAUUCAUUGACAUAUGAUUGAUAUUGACAUAUGUUACAUUGACAUAUGAUUCACGAAAAAUGCUAGAGAGUUCGACGACCUUACUGAUGGGUUUAUCAAAAGGGGACAAAAAGACUAUUUUGCCCCCACGUCCUGCUCUCCCCCUCCGAUAGAUUCCCUCUUUCUUUGCACGUCUCCCCUGCCUGCCAUGGCCCCCGCUCGCCUCUCCGCCGCGCCUUGCUACAGUCGCCCGGCCUCGUCUUCGUUGCCUCGCCUCGCCGACAGUCGCUACAUCGACUGUCAACGAGGCAACGGAGGCGAGGCG